UUUAUUUUUUAUUUUUUUAGUUUUAACCUUGAUGUUCAUCUGUGCGUGGCUGAGAAAAAAUGACCCACCCAACAAUAAUGGAGAUUAGGAUCAGGAUAAACAAAAACAGAAAGAGAGGAAAAUAAGAUGAAAGGAAUUUUACUUGGCUGUAUAUCAUUAUGAAGAAGAAGGUUGCAGUUGCUUUUUUUUAUAGAGAGUGGGG
rnacentral:misc_RNA from 1 species